UAUUCUACAAAGCUUUUGAGUAGCUUUGCUGUUCAAAAACAGUGGGGAUUUAACCACCUUCUCAACCAUAUAAAUCUCCAAUCUUGUCUCCUCCAUUUUCUGAUAGCACCACCAUGGGUACUUAUGCUAAAACCAUGAUUCUCUUUCUCUUGGUACUCUAUCUUAUUCCAUUUAUAGCCAAAGUUAAGGGCUUGGAUGCUGGUGCAACUUCAGCUGACUCUGGAAUUAAUGAGGGUAUGGUUGAAGUGAAGAUGAGGAAGCUGAAACUAGAUGUUGACAUUGUAAAAGACUAUACUCCGGUUAUUCCAAAUCCUAAACACGAACCACCGCCGAGAGGAAAACCGGGGACAUCAGCCGGAAGUGGUGGUGGCGGCGGCAGCUGAGGACUCUUGAGAAGCACGAACUGUCUACAAGCUUAAAGUAGUACUACUUUUUUUUUUUUUCUGGUUGUCUCUGCUAGUGUUUUAAUCACAUGGGGCAUAUUUAAGACUUCACCGAAUAAAGAACCAGAGAACUAUUAAGUAAAA